AUUGAACGCUGGCGGCAGGCCUAACACAUGCAAGUCGAGCGAUCGGCGGACGGGUGAGUAAUGUAUGGGGACUGCCCGAUAGAGGGGGAUAACUACUGGAAACGGUAGCUAAUACCGCAUACUAUCGGAUAACCCAUAUGGGAUUAGCUAGUAGGUGAGGUAAUGGCUCACCUAGGCGACGAUCCCUAGCUGGUCUGAGAGGAUGAUCUGGGAAGCUGGAAAUGAGAAAAGGACCCGGAGACUACGGAGGGGCCAGGGGAGAAUAUUGAAGGGUGGGUGAAGGCCUGCUGCAGCGAUGCCGCGUGUAUGAGGCAGGAAAAAAGGUUGUAUAGUACUUUCAGUCGGGCGGCGUUCCCGAUAGAAGAAGCACCGGGUAACUCCGUGCCAGCAGCCGCGGUAAUUC
rnacentral:rRNA from 1 species